rnacentral:rRNA from 1 species
AACGAACGCUGGCGGCAGGCUUAACACAUGCAAGUCGAGCGCCCCGCCAGGGGAGCGGCAGACGGGUGAGUAACGCGUGGGAACGUACCUUUUGGUUCGGAACAACUCCGGGAAACUGGAGCUAAUACCGGAUAAGCCCUAACGGGGAAAGAUUUAUCGCCGAAAGAUCGGCCCGCGUCUGAUUAGCUAGUUGGUGAGGUAACGGCACACCAAGGCGACGAUCAGUAGCUGGUCUGAGAGGAUGAUCAGCCACACUGGGACUGAGACACGGCCCAGACUCCUCCGGGAGGCAGCAGUGGGUAAUGUUGCACAAUGGGCGCAAGCCUGAUCCAGCCAUGCCGCGUGAGUGAUGAAGGCCUUAGGGUUGUAAAGCUCUUUUGUCCGGGAAGAUCAUGACUGUACCGGAAGAAUAAGCCCCGGCUAACUUCGUG